UAGGGAAUCUUCGGCAAUGGGGGCAACCCUGACCGAGCAACGCCGCGUGAGUGAAGAAGGUUUUCGGAUCGUAAAGCUCUGUUGUAAGAGAAGAACGUGUGUGAGAGUGGAAAGUUCACACAGUGACGGUAACUUACCAGAAAGGGACGGCUAACUACGUGCCAGCAGCCGCGGUAAUACGUAGGUCCCGAGCGUUGUCCGGAUUUAUUGGGCGUAAAGCGAGCGCAGGCGGUUUAAUAAGUCUGAAGUUAAAGGCAGUGGCUUAACCAUUGUUCGCUUUGGAAACUGUUAGACUUGAGUGCAGAAGGGGAGAGUGGAAUUCCAUGUGUAGCGGUGAAAUGCGUAGAUAUAUGGAGGAACGCCGGUGGCGAAAGCGGCUCUCUGGUCUGUAACUGACGCUGAGGCUCGAAAGCGUGGGGAGCAAACAGG
rnacentral:rRNA from 1 species